rnacentral:lncRNA from 1 species
UGCGGUGGUAGGCGCGCAGUGAGCGGAUGAGCAGGGCAUCGUCAUAGGCGGCUGCCAGCCCUGGCACGGGCAGGGCCUGGAUGAUGCCCGACACCAGGGCCGUCCUGAGCACUUGCUCCCGGAGCAUGGCCUUCUUCUGCUGUAGGGCCUCCAGCGAGAUAUCGGGCAGCGACAGCUGGCCAGCGUGGCACCGGUGGGCAGGCAGGUCAUGCUCCCAGGUGGACACGAGCAUUGGGAAGUCAUCGCAGGAUGGCUAGAGGUUGGACACGAGGAAGAGGCGGGGGUCGGGCACGCCGACUGCCCGAAGCCGCUCCGCACAGUGGUCUCAGAUCUCCUGGAGGACAGUGGCCUUGCUGAAGCCCGAGGGCCGCUGGCUGCAUGUGGCCACCAGUUCCUCGUCCACCUUGGUGCGCACGAAGUAGAACUUCUUGCCCUGGCGCAGGAUCUCAGAGGCCAGGCGGGUCUCCACGGCCCCGCAGCAGCGGGGCGACACCAGCAGGAAGAAGUCGUAGCAGCUAAAGUCCACCUGCUUCAGGUACUUGUUGGCUGGGCAGCCCGGAGAGCCAGCCCCUGGGAGGUCCCACAGCAUCACAUCGGAAAGCUGCGGGUGUGGGUAGGGAGAGGGCUGCAUCAUGGUCUCCACGACACCCGUGAGGGCCGCGCCAGGGUCCUCGGCCCCCAGGCCACGCAGGGCAUUGAUGAGGGACGACUUGCCGGCCCCCAACUCGCCUAUGACGCCCACCUCCAGCCGGAUGUUGUCCAAGGAGGCCAGCAGCUCUCGAAGGCACGGCCGGCAACUUGAGAGUAGCCAUGGUGACCCGUGGUUGAGAGAGCAGCAGGGGACAAGGGAGUCACAGGAUGUGAUCCUCAACGUCUUUGGAGGAGAAGAGAGCUGGUCACACACCUCGUGGGCCUUGGGGUGGGCAGAAAGAGGGGUAUCAAGGAUGUGAGGCAGCCCCUCUGCAACCCACAGCCCUCUCCUCCUCAGGAACCCGGCAUACACUGGGCACACA